AACGAACGCUGGCGGCAUGCCUAACACAUGCAAGUCGAACGAGACCUUCGGGUCUAGUGGCGCACGGGUGCGUAACGCGUGGGAAUCUGCCCUUGGGUUCGGAAUAACAGCUAGAAAUGACUGCUAAUACCGGAUAAUGACGUAAGUCCAAAGAUUUAUCGCCCAAGGAUGAGCCCGCGUAGGAUUAGCUUGUUGGUGAGGUAAAAGACUCACCAAGGCGACGAUCCUUAGCUGGUCUGAGAGGAUGAUCAGCCACACUGGGACUGAGACACGGCCCAGACUCCUACGGGAGGCAGCAGUGGGGAAUAUUGGACAAUGGGCGAAAGCCUGAUCCAGCAAUGCCGCGUGAGUGAUGAAGGCCUUAGGGUUGUAAAGCUCUUUUUACCCGGGGAUGAUAAUGACAGUACCGGGAGAAUAAGCUCCGGCUAACUCCGUGCCAGCAGCCGC
rnacentral:rRNA from 1 species